rnacentral:rRNA from 1 species
GACGAACGCUGGCGGCGUGCUUAACACAUGCAAGUCGAACGGAAAGGCCCUGCUUGCAGGGUACUCGAGUGGCGAACGGGUGAGUAACACGUGGGUGAUCUGCCCUGCACUUCGGGAUAAGCCUGGGAAACUGGGUCUAAUACCGGAUAUGACCUUCCAUGUAGUGUGGGGGGUGGAAAGAUUUAUCGGUGUGGGAUGAGCCCGCGGCCUAUCAGCUUGUUGGUGGGGUAAUGGCCUACCAAGGCGUCGACGGGUAGCCGGCCUGAGAGGGUGGACGGCCACAUUGGGACUGAGAUACGGCCCAGACUCCUACGGGAGGCAGCAGUGGGGAAUAUUGCGCAAUGGGCGGAAGCCUGAUGCAGCGACGCCGCGUGGGGGAUGACGGCCUUCGGGUUGUAAACCUCUUUCGACAGGGACGAAGCUUCGGUGACGGUACCUGUAGAAGAAGCACCGGCUAACUACGUG